rnacentral:rRNA from 1 species
UACGAAGGGGGGCUAGCGUUGCUCGGAUUGACUGGGCGUAAAGGGCGCGUAGGCGGUUCGUACAGUCAGACGUGAAAUUCCUGGGCUCAACCUGGGGGCUGCGUUUGAUACGUGCGGACUUGAGUGCGGAAGAGGGUCGUGGAAUUCCCAGUGUAGAGGUGAAAUUCGUAGAUAUUGGGAAGAACACCGGUGGCGAAGGCGGCUCACUGGACCGGUAUUGACGCUGAUGUGCGAAAGCGUGGGGAGCAAACAGG